rnacentral:rRNA from 1 species
GACGAACGCUGGCGGCGUGCUUAACACAUGCAAGUCGAGCGAUGAAGCACCUUCGGGUGUGAAUUAGCGGCGAACGGGUGAGGAACACGUGAGAAAUCUGCCUUCAACACUGGGAUAACUCCGGGAAACCGGGGCUAAUACCGGAUAUGAAACCUGCGGGCAUCCGCGGGUUUGGAAAGUUUUUCGGUUGAAGAUGAUCUCGCGGCCUAUCAGCUUGUUGGUGAGGUAAUGGCUCACCAAGGCGACGACGGGUAGCCGGCCUGAGAGGGCGACCGGCCACACUGGGACUGAGACACGGCCCAGACUCCUACGGGAGGCAGCAGUGGGGAAUAUUGGGCAAUGGAGGAAACUCUGACCCAGCGACGCCGCGUGCGGGAUGAAGGCCUCGGUUGUAAACCGGCUUUCAGUAGGGAAGAAGCGAAGUGA